UCCUUGGUGUAAAGAUGCCCUGCACGCCUUCCCACUCCUCUCCCUCCCAAACUCUCAGCACUGCCAGCCCAGGACAUCCCAACACACAGUGCCACCCGAGUCAUGGACCAUCUUCCAUUCCUCCUCCUCUGGGAUUCUGUUCAAAAGAAGGAUGGAAAAGAAGAAAAGAACUAGUCCCUGCAUUCAUUUAUUUACCAGCUGUUUUAUUUUAAGUUUCCUGUCUCCUUAGUCUUUUUUGUUUUGUUUUGGUUGAGUUCAGCAGAGCAGCAGCAAGACAGGAUGGGGACCUGGUUAACCACCACAGAUUGGAAGUGCUUUGGAAGAGGCAACACCUUUUAGAGGGUUUGGACAGUGCUUAGCUUCACUAUUUGAAUCUCCAGGCAAUCCCAUAACACACACAAUCUAUUUCACAGAUGCAGGAAGGCAUUUCCAUGAGAAGGAGCAACCUGCGAUGUGUUCCUGACUCUGCUCUGCCCAUGCUUUACAAGAAGCCUGAGGCAAACAGACUCCCGAUUACCAAAUUAUGUGGGGCUGUGACUAAGUGAGAUUUCUCCCUUAUCUAGGCUAAAGGGAAAGAAUAGCUUAACACUGUUCUCAUUAUUGCCAAAGGUUUUUAAGAAGAACCAGAACAUAGAAAGUUGCUUACUGGCACUCUUUGGAUUUUGCAAAUUCAGGGGUUUAAGGCCAGAAGGUGAUUAUCCUGUUCGACCUCCCCUGUGAAAGUCCGAAGCUCAAGCCCUUGAGCCUUUAAAGUACCAGGAGCUUCUCCAAAUUAAGACCUUCAAAAGGUGGAGAACUGCCAUGUUCUUAGGUAAGUUGUUUCCACAGUUAACAUAACAAAGUGUACCUGGCUCCUUUGUUACAGGCUGAAAUUAAAGUGAAUGGAAAACAGGGAUAUGGAGAAAAAAGAGCAAAGGGAAGUUCCAGCCCAUAGCAUCCCCAUAAGCACUGACUGUAGACUUUCACAUCUCCUGUAUCAAUUUGAACAUCACAGGUGUACCAGCUGUGCUUCCCCAAAAGAUUUCAGUGGAGUGAAGCACAAGAGGCAUGGAGAUAAAUCAGCAACACGAGGAGCUGCUUCCCACUGGCAGAGAAGGGAAACUGCAUGGAGAUUUGGAUACACCAGGCAUCCAAAAAGAUCCAGCAUGCUGGGAAGUGGAGAGGAGCAGUACAGCAAGCAUUAAUAACCUGACUAUUUCUUGCAAGUCUCCAGUAAAAGCCCAUUUUGAGAAUGUACUUACUUUCUGCAUAAUGUGUAAAGAUUAAAAGUCUACAAAGACCACAAGCUGCUUCCUGGAAGGCUUGAAUUCCUUACUUAGCAGGAAAUUAAGCCUUAAUGUGGAUAAAUUAGACAUGUAACAUCAUUGCUUUCAGCCAUCUUCCCUCUAGGAUUGUUUAUCCAGUAAAGAAACCAGAAUGUAACCAUGUUUUGGUGCACAUGCACCUUUCUGCAUUUCCUCAAGGAUCUCUCUCUGAAGAUCCGCACCAGCACUGCCUGCUUCCUUUCAGCUCCCCUGCCUUCAGAAUCUGGCAAAACUCCAUUAAAAUUUUAGACCCAUUUAUUUUGUAAUAAAAUGAAUGUAAAUAAGAUUUAAGUUGAGGAAGAAGUUAGAUUUUUCAGGCUGAGCCCCGCAUAGAUCUUUUGAGGUGUCAGUGUAAAUUCCUUGAAGGUUAAUGCAGUUAAACCUAUUUGAUGCAUAAAAGCGUCACAUCUAACACCAAUCAUUCACCAGUUGUAAUUGCCUUUUCAAAGUCCUCACCUCCCUGAGACAAAUGCCCCCAAAAAUGAGGCCUGGCAAAUUUAAACUGAAAAAACAAAUAACGUCUUCCUACCAUCAGGACGUAUUAUUUGCUUUGAUAGAUUUAGGACCAGAUUUCAAGAAUUUAUUGUCCUGUAUUAUUUCCCAGCUGCCUGCCUAAUCCUUCUUUCCCCCUCCGCCUCCUAUUUGACUGAUUUUAAAAGCAUUCAAAACCCACUUACUGAUGGCUUUUCUUACAAACGAAAUCACGGAAGGGUUUGCUCUCUGGGAAACCAACAGCCACCUUCCACGCAGAGCAGUGCUGCUCUCUUCCAGCUAGCAGUGCAAGUUCUCAGAACUUCUGACAUUUAUUGCCAGACUCAUUGUUAAGCACAACACCCCCUGUGCUAGAUACUGUACAUAAAAUUAUUUCCUGCUUAGCAUUAAUUAAAGUUACACUUUAUUUCAAAUCGAAGAGAGUCAUUAAUAAUGGAAAAGACCUCUAAGCUCAUCCAAUCCAACCAUCAGACCAACACCACCGUGCCUACUAAACCAUUACAACAAGAAGACCACGAUAUAUUUUCAAACCAGAACCCAGCCCACCCUACACUGUUUCAUUCUCUAUACUUCCUUAUCCAUUCAAUACUCGAGCUCUGUAGACAUCCUGAAAUACAUAACCCAAAAGAGCUCUUGAUAUCUUUUCCUGAAGCAUUUUUCUUCAGGCCAUCCCAGAACAACUGAGACCUUACUGAGCCAUUCCUUAGUUACGAUAGUGAUUGAUUGUGGAGGGUAACAAGAACACCAGCAAGAAAUUGGGUUCCCCCACCCCAUCAUCUUUGUAGUGAGACAGAGUGGAAGCACAAGAGGGCAAGUAUCACAUGUCAAGCAUAAGCAGAUGGAAAACAACUUUACAUUUAAAUAAUCAAUAAAAUAAGGGUGCCUACCUUCCCACGGCCCGAGCAGCAACAGGUCAGGAGAGUCCUGCACUACGAAGCUCCUUUGGUUCUGUGGAAGAUCACUUGAAGCAUCAUACUGUACUCGCCACCCUCUCGCCCUUACAUUCCUGUCUGGUUUCAGAUUCCCAGGUGCAAGAUGACUUCAUUUGUAGGGUACUGUAAGCACUAUAGAUGGAGACAGAAGUUUAGUUGAGUAUUAAUGAUACCUUAGGGAAUAUUUACAGCACUACUUUGCCAUUUGUUCUCUUUCCCCCCCCCCCCCCCAUAUGAAGGGCAUUUUGGCUAACAGCUUUCCAUGCAUUAAAGCAAUGAAUAUAAUGAGACAGCAGACAAACUAUCAGAGAGACACAUUGCUAUGGUCAAGUCUUUGUCAAUGCCCUAUGCAGUUAGCAAACCUCCUUUAAGGGAUGACAGGUUCUGUGUAAAUGCAAGCUCAUUAUCAAAGGAACCAUGGCUUGUUGCUCAUAUUGAUGUAGCACCAGAGACAAGAAAAACCCUCAAGUUAUUCUUUGGAGUAAUAUGUGCAGUCUAAAGACUGAAUAUUUCCAAACCGUAGAAAGCAAGUGAUGAUGUAGAUCCAGCAAUUCAGACAAGAAAAACUUCCUUUCAGGAGAAAGGAAUAAGAUCAAAGCAACACAGUCAAAAAAGCUGCUAGUCUUGGAUCAUGGCUUUGGAGGCUCUCCCGUGGGAUUGCCACCACUGGUACUCAGGGCAUUAUGUUAAACUUAUCCUUAUGAACACCAGGUACAUAUAAAACAGAAACACAGACCUUUUCUAGCUGCACCCCACUACACUUGACUAUUCACAGGCUGACAAUGACAAAGUUUAUGUGCAUAGAAGAACUUAAAGCCCAGUGUCCUUCCCUGACGCUAUUUAUGAACACCAGUUCCUGAACAGCAUCUGUCACUGCAGACUGGUAAGGAGGAACUGGAGAGCCCCCUGAAAUGUGUUGGUUUGGGGCAUAUUUAUUUGAAGCACUUGUUACCAACAGCCUCAGUAUUGACUUCAGAGUGCAAAAAUAUAAACCAAAGGUGGUAGCUAUGUCUAUUGAGACACACUUCUCUAUGGAAAAGGGCAUGUUAGCAAGAACGGGAGCCAUGCUAACCACUUCAGCUUUAGAGACAGCAUUUCUUAGACUCCCACUGUACAGAGACACAAGAGCUUGGACACUGGGGGCUUUCACCACGGGUUUCACAGCCCAUGAGCUGCUCUGCUCCCAGAAAGGGCUCCAGCACAGACACCACAACCCAGUCCUCCGCAUCUAGAUCUAAAUGAGAAAUAACUGUUGAGCUGAAUGCCCAGGAAGACAGAGCUAGAAAAGCCAAAAGUUUAAGCUUUUUAUUAGUUACAUUUCAGUGUUGUGCCUAAAUUCAUACCUAAAAUCAGGUUUUAUUCAGUAGGCAGCCAGGCCUUGAGUUGCUUCAAACGCAUGUUGCCUCGUGGCUGGUGUUGACUUUGCAGAGCUCUGGAGGGGAGGCUUGGCUGAGGGGCCCUUUAGAAACCCUUUACAAAUGUAGAUUUGAUUGACUGACUGAUUGAACUUAAUUGCAGACAUUCUCUUAAUUGUACACUUAAUUACUGACACUAUGUCAAAAGAUUUCUGAUGCAGCACCUGGAGGACAACCUUGUGGGUGCCAGUCAGAGCCAGCUGCACCCGACACCAGGGAGGUGCUGCUCAUCGCUCCAGCUUGGAAGGGGAAAAAUCAUAAUAUUUUAAUAAUAUACAAUUAGGGCUUCACCCACCCUCAAACACGCGUGUGCACGUACACACAAUCACAACCCUCUUUGCAGGGAGGGCAUCCAAUACAUGCAGAACAGAAAAGAAACAAAGGGUGAUAAUUAUGGGACCAUGUGACAGUUCCACCCUUUUGUGGUCUCUCCUAAUAUUGCCAGCAUUGUCAGCCGCAGGGGGAGGGCAGGAUGCCAUCGGGUUUGGCAGGAGCCAUGCAGCUGUUGGCCACUCUAGAUUUAGUAACUCCAGAUUUUUUUAUGCUAAAAUUGUAACCAGAAAUAAAAACCCACGAUGUUUGUUCAAAGGUUAAAACUCUGAAUGUUCUCAGCAGUUAUUUUGGGUCACCACGGGUCUUCCUGAAAAUAGUUACACACAGAGAAAAGAAAACAGCCUUCUUACUGUUUGUAAUAAGAAAUAUCUGCAGGAACUUGGUGAUUAUGGCUCCUAUACUUCUCAAAGGGCAAAUUAGUAUUUCAGUGAAUGCAAAACUGAAACCCAUGCUGCAAUAGGUUGUAUGCAUAGUGCAUACGAUGCAUGAAUAAGUGGAAACUAAUCUGGGUGUGUGCAUUUUUUCCUCACUAUUUUUACCAAUAAAGUCACUUUUACUAAAUUUUGUUAUUAACUAGAUGUGCUAGUCAAUAAAAAAAAAAAAUGAGUGGCUGCAGGGUAUUAGAGGUACUUCCACCACUGCUGCAUGCGAAUCGGUGUGGGAAUCACAGUAACAUCAGUGUACUUAUCCUCCGAAGCCAUAGACAGCUCUGCUACUCCUGCUAGGGAUCUGAGGCCAACCAACCCAAAAUUCCUACCCAGGUCUCAAAGAUUGCCUGGCCACUGGUCAGCUCAGGUUACUAUGAGGUCUGUGACCGAACUGGAGCUAAAUCCCAGGCUGGUGACCAAAGGACAGAUAAUUGAAGAUAAUACCCUCCCAGCAGUUUUUCCCCAGAAAGAUUUUUAGGGUCAUCCCACAGCCCCACACUGCCUGGCUGUGCACGCAGCUCUGCACACCUCUGCUUGAGGUGCUGCGAAGGAGAUGACUUUCUGUCCCUGCAACAGGUCACGCCCAUCAAUAUUGAGGCCAGCAGAGCUCCAUGCCUCUGUUGGGAGGCAGGAGAGGAGGGCAGCAGCCUCAGGGCAGUUAUAGCAAGGAAACUGCAGCUGCAGUGCCUGGUGGAGAUUGCACAAGGGAGGCUGGAGCAGCCCUCACCGCAGCAGCGAGACCUCUGCCAUGGGGAGGAGAAGCUGAACAGCAAGGGGAAAGAGCAAGACAGAGACAUGAGGAUCAAAGGGAAGCUAAAUGAUGGCAACUGAGAUGAAAAGGGAAGGAUUUCUAUUGCAAAGCACAGAAGAGAGGCUACAGUGGUAUUUACAACCUGGUCUCCUACCUCUGAAUCUACUCCACACCGAGACACACACAGCAGCUGCUUGCACAGCACAAAGGCCUCAAUAAAAAAAGGACCAAACUACUCUGCAAAUUAAGGAUUGACAACCUCAAUAAGAUGCAGAGAGAGAAAGUUAAACUUGGAACACCACUAAGUUAUUCCAUCAGUAGCUGGAUCCCCUCUGAAGCACCUCUUAGUCUGGAAGAAUCAGACUGACACUAUCUGCUCCUGUUGGAUCAGAGCAAGACAGAACAGUCCAGAUAUGCAGGGCUGGUUAGGAAAGGGAACAUCUACCAGAAAACAGUAGCGUUGGAUUUUAAGCAUCUAUACAACAUGUACCAUAUCAGAGAGACCCUAUAAAUACAGUCAGCUUGGGUGCUGAUGCAUAGCUAAAAACCCCAAAAAACAGAGCACACAAAGACUAUACCGACAACUGGCAGAGACAAUGGGAAUUGUUUUACACCCGCAUAAAUGCAAUUUGCUCAAAACACCUGGAGUCUCGUUAAUUUACCUGUGACAUGUUGCUACACUUAAUUGCCUUUGACAAUUAGUAACAUUUCAACACCUCCUUUAAUGGCCCAAUUAUGAGAACACUUGUCUUCUGCGCAGCAGAUAGAAGAAAAUAGAUGGGUGAACUUCCAAUGCAAAACUCCUCUGCAGGUAUUUUAAUGAAGAGCUUCAAAAGCAACUCCCAAAGAAGCCGUUUGGAUUUUGUUUGGCUCACACUGCAGAGCCAGGCUGGGUUUGCUCAGCUCCCUGGUCCUGCCCCUGCGACAGCCACCGCUCCAAGAACCACACUGCAAAAUUAAUUACAUGGAAAAGUGCUGAGCAGUCCCCUCCUUCCAUUUCUUGCGCCUGAUAUUUUAUCGAUUACUCCCGAGCACUAAACAAAAUGCAUCCUUUGUAAAAUAAACCCUUUUUCUGAAGUGGGAGAAACACGAUGGGCAUAGGAACACAGAACCAACUCUUCCAACUAUACAAGCUCCUGCAUGUGUAGCAGGAAUAUUUGUUAGACUGAAGAUCUGCAGGACUGCUUUGCUGCAAUACGAUUGCAAGCACUGGCUGAAGUCUGAUAUCAGUUUUCUCUUACAAAUAAGCAGUUAACUUCACAUGCUGCUUCAAGGCUGGUCACAGGUGCUGGAUUUGACAACUACAUUGAGUGCAAGAAAGCGGGGAAAUCCCGCAAGAUAUUUUCUUGCCAAGUGUCCCGAUGCCAAGGACAGCAGCCCAUUUCAUCCUAUCUCAGGGAAGGAAUGGGAUCCUGCCCUAGCCCGCAGCGAUCUCCUUCUGCUUUCUGUCACUGGAGGUGUCUAAACUGGGCACAAGGCAGAAGAAAGCUCACCAACCCAAACUGGCUUCUCCAAAACAGCCGAUAUACUCUUAAUGUUGGAUAGAGUUUAUGAAUAAAACAAUGUUUUACUAAACUACUAUCACAUUUUGAUUGAAUAGCAUUUGGACUACAUGGGAGCAGACAUAUUCCUGAAAGUAAUUGGUUUUCCACAUCUGCUUUACUUUCUAAUUGGACUAAUUACUUCAGUGUAGGAUCAUGUUCACUACUCUCCAAAAAGCAAGAAACCUUGAUUUACAGUGAGAAGAGCAGCAAUUAGAGAGAAUUAAUUCAUACGGCAACAUCUAAAUAAAUCAUAUUAUGAGAAGACAGCAAUGUAAUUAUUGUGACUGGUGACUCCCUUGUGGAGAAAUAUCAUCC